ACGUGACGUCAUAACCCUGCGACAGCACUCGGAGAGGUUAACCGGCUUAAUGUUGUGUUCAGGUCGAGAUCAAAUGAGUUGAUAGAUAAGAUUAUAACACUCAUUUUAACAGCUAUUAAGACACUUUAUUUCAUGAGUAAACAGACUGCAGGCUGUAAAGGUGAAGGAUGCAGCGGGUGUUUUGUUCCCGGUGGGUUAUUUCCGGUGUGUCCUUGGCAGUCGGUGUCGCUCUGAGCAGCGCUUCGAACCGCUUUGGUCCUGAAGAUGAGCUCCUCCGGAGAGUCCCGGUCAUCCUGAUGCCCAGCGUCAGCGCAGAGUCUGAAGUCAUCCCGUACCAGUAUGGCCAGUUAACCCCGAGCAAAUCCACAGCAGCGGUGAAGUACGGCUUCCCGUCUCUGUCUCAGAUCAGAUCCCGGGAGUCUUACGUGAGCUGUUAUGACCCGCGGAACAAAACUCCAGUCUGGGUGAUCGAGCAGCUCAGUGCGGACACACUGUGCGGAACAUCCGACCGGAAGCUGUGCGACUUUAAGGAGGAUGACUCGGUGCAUGUGUACCACCGAGCAGCGAACAGCGACUACAAGGGUAGUGGCUUUGACAGGGGACACCUGGCUGCUGCUGCCAAUCAUAAAUGGAGCCAGAAGGCCAUGGAUGACACUUUCUACCUCAGCAACGUGGCACCACAGAAUCCUCACCUAAACCAGAACGCGUGGAACAAUUUGGAGAAGUACUGCCGCUCUCUUACUAAACACUACAAGAACGUGUACGUGUGCUCGGGGCCGCUUUAUCUGCCCAGGCAGGAGCCUGAUGGGAAGAUGUACGUGAGGUAUCAGGUGAUCGGGAAGAACCACGUGGCAGUUCCCACACACUUCUUUAAGGUAGUGAUUCUGGAGAAGCAGCGUGGCGAGGUGGAGCUACGACCCUACGUGAUGCCCAACACACCCGUCGAUGAGAAGAUCCCACUCGAGCGCUUCCUGGUGCCCAUCGAGAGCAUCGAGAAAGCAUCGGGUCUGCUGUUCAUCCCCAACAUCCUAAAGAGGACCAACAGCCUGCAGGCCAUUACUGCCAGGGUCUGAUCAUCUCUACACACGGGAAAAAAAUCCUGUUGCUACAAAAUCCAUGGUCACUGACAGCUAGCCGCUGUGUCCGGGGAUCAGGUCGUCGAGGCCCCUGCCUUCGACUGCCGCCCAAUCCACACUGCACCAGUCCCCUACUGCUACCUCUGUGGGUGGUGAACCCACAGGAGGUCGGGCCCACGUCACCUCUUCGGGCUGAGCCCGGCCGGGCCCCAUGGGCAAGCGCACGCAUACGAGCCCCAACCCCGGGCCUGGCUCCAGGGUGGGGCCCCGGCUGCGCCAUACCGGGCGACGUCACGGUCCUCGAUUGUUUCUCCAUAAGGGUUUUGGUGAACUGCUCUUGGUCUGGCCUGUCACGGAUACAAGCGGCCGAAAUGAGUUUCCUUCGCAGGGUGGCUGGGCGCUCCCUUAGAGAUAGGGUGAGAAGCACAGUCACUCGGGAGGAGCUCGGAGUAGAGCCGCUGCUCCUCCACAUCGAGAGGAAUCAGCUGAGGUGGCUCGGGCAUCUCUUUCGGAUGACUCCUGGACGCCUCCCUGGGGAGGUGUUCCAGGCAUGUCCCCCCGGGAGGAGGCCCCGGGAAGACCCAGGACACGCUGGAGGGACUAUGUCUCUCGGCUGGCCUGGGAAUGCCUCGGUGUUCUUCCCAAAGAGCUGGCCAAGGUGUCUGGGGAAAGGGAAGUUUGGGCUUCCAUGCUUAGACUGCUGCCUCCGCGACCCGGUCCCGGAUAAAGCGGAAGAAGACAAGACGAGACGUAUCUGAAUCCUGAUUCAGACUUUGGGGUUAUUACACAUUAGGGUGCAUCAGUUGCCCUCUAAAAAUGAAAAGUUCCUCCGAUCAUGAUGCAUUUUUGUUUUUAUGUUCCUUUUGGUAAGAAAGCACACUGGGUGAAAUAUUUUGACAAAAUUCAAAAGUUUAAUGGUGGCACCAGGAGCUCAAAGUUAUG